ACUAUGAGUUGAUCCUGGCCAAGUGAACGCUGGCGGCGUGCCUAACACAUGCAAGUCGAACGAGAACGGGGAUUAAGUUUACUUAAUUUGUCAGCUAAGUGGCGCACGGGUGAGUAAUGUAUAGUUAACCUGCCCUCAAGAAAGGAAUAACAGUUGGAAACGACUGCUAAUGCCCUAUAUGCCCUUAAUACAUAAGUAUGCAGGGGAAACGCUUUUGUGCUUGAGGAUGGGACUGUAUGGUAUCAGUUAGUUGGUGAGGUAAUGGCUCACCAAGACUAUGACGCCUAACUGGUUUGAGAGGAUGAUCAGUCACACUGGAACUGAGACACGGUCCAGACUCCUACGGGAGGCAGCAGUGGGGAAUAUUGCACAAUGGAGGAAACUCUGAUGCAGCAACGCCGCGUGGAGGAUGACACUUUUCGGAGCGUAAACUCCUUUUAUAUAGGAAGAUAAUGACGGUACUAUAUGAAUAAGCGCCGGCUAACUCCGUGCCAGCAGCCGCGGUAAUACGGAGGGCGCAAGCGUUACUCGGAAUCACUGGGCGUAAAGAGCGUGUAGGCGGGUUAAUAAGUCAGAAGUGAAAUCCUA
rnacentral:rRNA from 1 species